UACGGGGGGGGUAAGCGUUGUUCGGAAUUACUGGGCGUAAAGGGCUCGUAGGCGGCCAACUAAGUCAGACGUGAAAUCCCUCAGCUUAACUGGGGAACUGCGUCUGAUACUGGCGAGCUUGAGUGCAGGAGAGGAACGCGGAAUUCCAGGUGUAGCGGUGAAAUGCUUAGAUAUGACAUAGAACACCCAUUGCGAAGGCAGCUCGCUACACGGUUAUUGACGCUGAGGCACGAAAGCGUGGGGAUCAAACAGG
rnacentral:rRNA from 1 species